CUUCUUAGGUUUACCAAGGCCCUGAGAGUGAUGCUACUCCAUGUACCUACCACCCAGGAGCACCCCGAUUCCAUGAGGGGUGAGGGAGGGGAGUGGGUGGGCUAUGAGACAGGUUUCUCCUAAUAUUUGGUCAUAAGAUAAUACUGGGGGUGAGAGAAUUCAGUUGAAUUAUCUUCCUACUUCAGGAUGAAGUCUUGGAGCUGUUGUGGCAUCCAGACCCUGGAUUUUGGGGCAUUCUUGGCACAGCCAGGGUGCAGAGUUGGUAGACAUGACUGGGGGAAGCAGCUCCCAGCAUCUUGCCGCCAUGAUUGGCACCAGACAGAUUCCUUAGUAGUGGUGACUGUAUAUGGCCAGAUUCCACUUCCUGCGUUUAACUGGGUGAAGGCCAGUCAAACUGAGGUGAGCAAUGAUCUGAUGUUGGAUGGGAGGAUAGUGAAUUGGGUGAUACUACAAUCUCACAGGCAGAGUUGCCAUUUGCUGUUAACCUGUAGGCUCCAUAGUACCCUCAGAGGAAAGGAGAGUUAUUAGGUCAGGGCUGUCUGGCCAACCUGUGGAUCACACCUCUGACCUGGUUAUCUGUCGUAAUGACCUAUUCUAACCUUCUGGGUUUGUUACUACCCCUGUAAUUCUUUUCUCUCAGCUUCAUGUCCACAUUGUCUUUGAUGGUAACCGUGUGUUCCAAGCACAGAUGAAGCUCUGGGGGGUAAGUGAAGACCAGGGGACACAAAAGCGGGAGGCAGAUGGGUGAAAGAGUGGCUAGACUGGAAUAGAGGGUGUCUUGAGGGAAGGAGUUGUACCAGGAAAAUGGAGGUUUUCUCUUCAUUUGCUUUCAUUUUCUCUCUCUCUCCUGCUCUUCCUGUUUCCCUCUUUCCCUCCCCUC
rnacentral:sRNA from 1 species